rnacentral:rRNA from 1 species
AGCGUACACGGUGGAUGCCCUGGCAGUCAGAGGCGAUGAAGGACGUGCUAAUCUGCGAUAAGCGUCGGUAAGGUGAUAUGAACCGUUAUAACCGGCGAUUUCCGAAUGGGGAAACCCAGUGUGAUUCGUCACACUAUCAUUAACUGAAUCCAUAGGUUAAUGAGGCGAACCGGGGGAACUGAAACAUCUAAGUACCCCGAGGAAAAGAAAUCAACCGAGAUUCCCCCAGUAGCGGCGAGCGAACGGGGAGCAGCCCAGAGCCUGAAUCAGUGUGUGUGUUAGUGGAAGCGUCUGGAAAGGCGUGCGAUACAGGGUGACAGCCCCGUACACAAAAAUGCACAUAUUGUGAGCUCGAUGAGUAGGGCGGGACACGUGGUAUCCUGUCUGAAUAUGGGGGGACCAUCCUCCAAGGCUAAAUACUCCUGACUGACCGAUAGUGAACCAGUACCGUGAGGGAAAGGCGAAAAGAACCCCGGCGAGGGGAGUGAAAAAGAACCUGAAACCGUGUACGUACAAGCAGUGGGAGCACGCUUAGGCGUGUGACUGCGUACCUUUUGUAUAAUGGGUCAGCGACUUAUAUUCUGUAGCAAGGUUAACCGAAUAGGGGAGCCGAAGGGAAACCGAGUCUUAACUGGGCGUUAAGUUGCAGGGUAUAGACCCGAAACCCGGUGAUCUAGCCAUGGGCAGGUUGAAGGUUGGGUAACACUAACUGGAGGACCGAACCGACUAAUGUUGAAAAAUUAGCGGAUGACUUGUGGCUGGGGGUGAAAGGCCAAUCAAACCGGGAGAUAGCUGGUUCUCCCCGAAAGCUAUUUAGGUAGCGCCUCGUGAAUUCAUCUCCGGGGGUAGAGCACUGUUUCGGCAAGGGGGUCAUCCCGACUUACCAACCCGAUGCAAACUGCGAAUACCGGAGAAUGUUAUCACGGGAGACACACGGCGGGUGCUAACGUCCGUCGUGAAGAGGGAAACAACCCAGACCGCCAGCUAAGGUCCCAAAGUCAUGGUUAAGUGGGAAACGAUGUGGGAAGGCCCAGACAGCCAGGAUGUUGGCUUAGAAGCAGCCAUCAUUUAAAGAAAGCGUAAUAGCUCACUGGUCGAGUCGGCCUGCGCGGAAGAUGUAACGGGGCUAAACCAUGCACCGAAGCUGCGGCAGCGACGCUGAUGCGUUGUUGGGUAGGGGAGCGUUCUGUAAGCCUGUGAAGGUGUGCUGUGAGGCAUGCUGGAGGUAUCAGAAGUGCGAAUGCUGACAUAAGUAACGAUAAAGCGGGUGAAAAGCCCGCUCGCCGGAAGACCAAGGGUUCCUGUCCAACGUUAAUCGGGGCAGGGUGAGUCGACCCCUAAGGCGAGGCCGAAAGGCGUAGUCGAUGGGAAACAGGUUAAUAUUCCUGUACUUGGUGUUACUGCGAAGGGGGGACGGAGAAGGCUAUGUUGGCCGGGCGACGGUUGUCCCGGUUUAAGCGUGUAGGCUGGUUUUCCAGGCAAAUCCGGAAAAUCAAGGCUGAGGCGUGAUGACGAGGCACUACGGUGCUGAAGCAACAAAUGCCCUGCUUCCAGGAAAAGCCUCUAAGCAUCAGGUAACAUCAAAUCGUACCCCAAACCGACACAGGUGGUCAGGUAGAGAAUACCAAGGCGCUUGAGAGAACUCGGGUGAAGGAACUAGGCAAAAUGGUGCCGUAACUUCGGGAGAAGGCACGCUGAUAUGUAGGUGAAGUCCCUCGCGGAUGGAGCUGAAAUCAGUCGAAGAUACCAGCUGGCUGCAACUGUUUAUUAAAAACACAGCACUGUGCAAACACGAAAGUGGACGUAUACGGUGUGACGCCUGCCCGGUGCCGGAAGGUUAAUUGAUGGGGUCAGCGCAAGCGAAGCUCUUGAUCGAAGCCCCGGUAAACGGCGGCCGUAACUAUAACGGUCCUAAGGUAGCGAAAUUCCUUGUCGGGUAAGUUCCGACCUGCACGAAUGGCGUAAUGAUGGCCAGGCUGUCUCCACCCGAGACUCAGUGAAAUUGAACUCGCUGUGAAGAUGCAGUGUACCCGCGGCAAGACGGAAAGACCCCGUGAACCUUUACUAUAGCUUGACACUGAACAUUGAGCCUUGAUGUGUAGGAUAGGUGGGAGGCUUUGAAGUGUGGACGCCAGUCUGCAUGGAGCCGACCUUGAAAUACCACCCUUUAAUGUUUGAUGUUCUAACGUGGACCCGUAAUCCGGGUUGCGGACAGUGUCUGGUGGGUAGUUUGACUGGGGCGGUCUCCUCCUAAAGAGUAACGGAGGAGCACGAAGGUUGGCUAAUCCUGGUCGGACAUCAGGAGGUUAGUGCAAUGGCAUAAGCCAGCUUGACUGCGAGCGUGACGGCGCGAGCAGGUGCGAAAGCAGGUCAUAGUGAUCCGGUGGUUCUGAAUGGAAGGGCCAUCGCUCAACGGAUAAAAGGUACUCCGGGGAUAACAGGCUGAUACCGCCCAAGAGUUCAUAUCGACGGCGGUGUUUGGCACCUCGAUGUCGGCUCAUCACAUCCUGGGGCUGAAGUAGGUCCCAAGGGUAUGGCUGUUCGCCAUUUAAAGUGGUACGCGAGCUGGGUUUAGAACGUCGUGAGACAGUUCGGUCCCUAUCUGCCGUGGGCGCUGGAGAACUGAGGGGGGCUGCUCCUAGUACGAGAGGACCGGAGUGGACGCAUCACUGGUGUUCGGGUUGUCAUGCCAAUGGCACUGCCCGGUAGCUAAAUGCGGAAGAGAUAAGUGCUGAAAGCAUCUAAGCACGAAACUUGCCCCGAGAUGAGUUCUCCCUGACUCCUUGA